rnacentral:rRNA from 1 species
UGGGGAAUUUUGGACAAUGGGCGAAAGCCUGAUCCAGCAAUGCCGCGUGUGUGAAGAAGGCCUUCGGGUUGUAAAGCACUUUUGUCCGGAAAGAAAUCCUUGGCUCUAAUACAGUCGGGGGAUGACGGUACCGGAAGAAUAAGCACCGGCUAACUACGUGCCAGCAGCCGCGGUAAUACGUAGGGUGCAAGCGUUAAUCGGAAUUACUGGGCGUAAAGCGUGCGCAGGCGGUUUGCUAAGACCGAUGUGAAAUCCCCGGGCUCAACCUGGGAACUGCAUUGGUGACUGGCAGGCUAGAGUAUGGCAGGAGGGGGGUAGAAUUCCACGUGUAGCAGUGAAAUGCGUAGAGAUGUGGAGGAAUACCGAUGGCGAAGGCAGCCCCCUGGGCCAAUACUGACGCUCAUGCACGAAAGCGUGGGGAGCAAACAGGAUUAGAUACCCUGGUAGUCCACGCCCUAAACGAUGUCAACUAGUUGUUGGGGAUUCAUUUCCUUGGUAACGUAGCUAACGCGUGAAGUUGACCGCCUGGGGAGUACGGUCGCAAGAUUAAACUCAAUGAAUUG